AUGAUGUUGCCGUUUGCUGCCAGUUGGCCCUGCCCCCACAACCCAAGGCAGCAUCUUUCAAAACUAAGGAAUAAGUGUGUCAAUCUGGAGAUCCAGACUCGGUCCCCCCAAAGGCAAUGGUCCCCCUUUGAGGACCAGGGGGUCUCCGUCCCAGGGGACCCAAAACAGAACAUCUAUUUCCAUCUUGUCUGCCCGUUAAAUUGUCUAUGUACGGGUAUGCUUUCCAGUGUGCAAAAUAUAUUAGUCCAGGAGAAUAUGAUUUAUAAAUAAGUAGAUUCAUUGGGUGUUUGCGCUCAAAAUGGGGUUUUCCCCCUCUUGUGGGGCACAUUAAAAAGGAAUCUGAAAAACCAUUGAAAAUUGGUGUUACGGGCGGAACUGCAUGCCCCCCAAGUUCACAGGUUGAAAUCUAACCCCAGCUCCUCGGCAUGUGACUGCGUUUGGAUAUGGGGUAUUUCAAGCAGUAAGUUAACAUGAGGUCAUUAGGGUGGGCCCUCAUCCACUAUGACCAGUGUCCUGAUCAGAAGAGGAAAUUUAUCACUAAUAGGCAGAGGGGGGCCCUGUGAGGACAGGGGGAGAGAGGCCGCAGAGGAAAGCAGCCCUGCCACACCUUGCCCUUGGACUUCAGCCUCCAGAACUGUGGGAAUUCGCGUUUCUGCGGUUUGAGGCCCCCAGGUGCUGGCGGGAGGUUGGAAGCCUCUCUAGUCCACAGGGAACCUGCCCCUCUUUGGUGCCCCAGCUCCCCCAGCUCCCAGCCUCAUUCCUCCCAGGCUGCCUCAUUCUGAGUCCUUUGGAAGCAGCAGAAGCUGGAUCAGGAAAUAACUCUCCCACCAGCCCCAGACUAGCACCUGCCCAGUCUUCCGCCUGUGCCUCUUCUCCACACGUGGCUGGGGACACCCCUGUGCCAGCGCCUCCCAGGACUGAAGCCAUCACUGGUCAGUGACUUGCCCAGCUAAGUAAGUUGACAGCUAUGAGCAGUAUCAAAAUCCAUCCCUAAUUAUUCAGUCUAUACCCUUGGCAGAUGACUGCCAACAUGCUCCCCAUGUCUGCGAAGUGACUUCCAAACUUUUUCUCUUUUGGUCUUUUCAGGGCCGAACCCUCGGCGUACAGACGUUCCCAGGCCAGGGGUCGAACCCACACUUCAUCAGCGACGGGAGCCACUACAGAGACAACACUGGAUUCUUACCCUGCAGAAACUGUGAGAUAUUUUUACUCACAUUGUGAUUCCUACACAAAAUGCCAAAGUGUGAAAAAUAAAUUCUUCCUGGGAGGUGAUACGGACCUCAGGAGGGGCAGUGGACACUGUUGUGAAGAAAACUCACCGGCUUUAAGCGACAUAUCUAAGUUCUUUGGCCUCAGUUGUCUCAUCGAGAAAGUGGGAUUAAACAUUUCCUUAUCUGAGUGUUGUAAGCACUGCAUUUGGUCCAGAGUUAAGCUUAGAAAUAGUCGAGAAAUAAGUUUCGAACAAAGUGUCAAGCUGCAUGACAAAGAAGCAUCUCUCUUUCAUUAAUGUCCUGUGACAGAGUGAGCGGCAGAGACACAAUGAAAGGAUUCCGUAGCAGUUGAUUUUUCACAGAGACGAGAAAAGUGGUUUCUUUCUCUGUCCCAGAACUAAGGCUUGGUCAGAGGAUUUCAACAGAUAAUAACCAAAUGUCUGCAGGAAAUUUGCAGAAACAAUUGAUUUCCUUCCCAAGGACUGGAAAUGGCGCGGGCAGUUGGGCAAUAAAGGAGCUGCCGUAAUUUUCUGCUCCAUUUCUACGACGGCAACAAAAACAUGAUGGCGGAGAACACCGCCAAGUGACAAUCUUCAUUUCAUUCCUCGGGGCUGGAAAACACAUCCGUUUAUUAAGUCUCUAAAAGCUGGAACCACAGAUUGCAGCAACGAGACGCGACAGAGAAAAGAUUAGUUGGGUUGAGCCAACCGUAUGUGGCAACCGAAUGAAAAGAUGGUUCGAGAUGGUGCCCGUAUGGAGAAGCAGCGGGCCAGUCCCUGGGAAGACCAUGAACAGAGAGCGCUCAUUUACAUCCGACGUGAAGUGUGUCUUCCUAGGCGCCUGGCAAGCUCCCUAGAAAAGGAGAUUAAUGCAAGUGGGGAAUAUGAACUCUCUCUAGCAAACCACGUCCAUUUUCCGCCUGGGGAGGGCUCUGAGUGAUGGAUGCCACUGACCUUGGAGGAGGAGGAUGUGAAUGAGGUCUGUCCCAGUGCCUUCCGCUGCUUCCCGACUCUUCCCAACUUGCCUUUCACAGUGAAGUCUCAUCUGUCCCAACAUCCCUGGGCAAAGAGCGAGUCCACCUGAAUGCAUUUCACCAAAAAGAGGCUUUCCCUCUGUUCAAAUUUCAAAUGCUGAUUUAUGUCAAGUUGAACAUAUUUGUGUAGAAGUCUUUUCAGAAUUAAUGCCAGGCUUCCCUGCCCUCUCGGCAGGUACCCGUUUGGUGAGCCGGCCUAUAAGUCGGUACAGGGCACAGAGCCGGCUUAGAAGGGCACUAGACAGUGUCCCAUGCUUCUUGCUCUAUCACUUUAUUUCUUUUUAUAAUUCAAGGUCAUCAAUGUGACUCCUGCAGAGGGAGGGGUGCCUCUGUAGAGGUGGACAAGGUGUGAGAUGAAGCU
rnacentral:lncRNA from 1 species